rnacentral:lncRNA from 1 species
CUUGUAUUAUGAAACUCGGUUGAUGAUACGAAAAGCUACUGUCAAACAACUAAUAUAUGAUAUGGAAAACAAUGCCUCAUUCUUGCACCAUUGUAUGAUUCAUGUAACUUAGAUGAGAUUAUAGUAAUGGAAAAACAAGAUCAAUUACCUCGGAAGCAUGACCAAAUCCAAAGAGUAUCAUAACCUUCUUUUGAAAUGAGUUUCCGUGUGCCUGAUUAAACAUGCAAGUCAGAGUGUUAAAAGUUGCUGAAAUGACUAAUGAGUUUCACUUGUAAAGAAGCAUGGUUCAUUUCCUUCUGUGACUUUAUACAAUGGAACAUAAGAGGAUAACCCUUCCAAAGAUGUAGCCAGCUCUACAUAUUUCUGUGAUCAACUUCUUCGAUUACUCGAGCAAAAAUGAAAAUGAACAAGUACUUUCAAUAUAUGAGAUACAUAUGACACUAAAUAGUAUUACCUGUCAAAUUUCAAAAGCACUUUGCUUUUCUUUGGAGUCUGUUGAUUGACAAACCCAAACGAAAACUUCAGCAUGUGUGUCGAGAACCAUGAAAUCCUCAUUCAACAAAUCAUCUUGAGUGAAGUUAUAGAUUUCUUCAACCUGUUAUUUUAAUAGAAAAUAUUAACCUGUUUGAUAUACACAACAAGAAAUUUUAAUUUUAGUUUUAACUGAAUUCUCUAGAUAUUACCUAAAAUUUUCCUAGACAUCCACGAGUUAACAUGAAAUCAUUUGAUAAAGACAAUUAGAAGAGAAAAAUUUCCUCAUUCGGGAUAAAUAUCGAAGGGUGAGAAGGAUGCACCUCUAUUAACAGAACAAGAAAACAAGUGAGGUUCCCUGGUGGCUUCAGGAGCUAAUUUGUUGCUGGUAUAAUCUUGUUUUUCUCCAAUACUAAGCCAAAAAGCUGAGCUUUCUGUUCCUUCCUUAGUGUGUUUCACGGUUGCUCCGGGCUGAGUUUGUGAAUAAAACAGACCAAACAAAAUUAGCCUAAUGCAGCAUAAACUAGGAUAAACACAGGGUUUGUUAGUUGGGAUAACAAUGACAAAGAGCGCCUUUUUUCUACUUCGAUAAAAGCCUCACCUUCAAGAAUUCCACAAUCUUUGCUGCUAAGUUCUGUUGCUCAUGGGUACUUUGUUUUCCAUGCCAAAUUAAUACUAAAGAGCUAGAUUGCAGAAGAAAAUACUCGUAAGUGUUCAGUGAAGAUGCCACCUGUUAAUUUAGAAUUCGAGGUUGUAAAAUUCUAUUUUGGAAACUUUACAACAAAGUUCAUAGUAGCUUUGGACAUAAUGAAAACAGCAACUUAGACUUUAGCGUGACAGUACAGAGAAAUAGAAACUAUACAUAAGUACAAAGUUUAACAUAAAAUUUUCAAUUAGACUAUCAUUUAGACAGCUUCAAUAUAUAUUGAAAAGAAUCCUAAAUUACAUCCCAGACAGAUGUUUACGUAAUCCAGAAGAACAAUUCUCUGAGACUCUUUCAACAUAGAACAGAAGCUACAUAUCUAUCUAGACAUAGUCUGAGAACAUGUUCAAGUGAUGACUAGAAGGAUCUCAUAACGUAGCUUUUGCAGCAUGACUAAAUUGGAAAGAUAGUGUAGAAUAAAGAAAAAGAUUAUCAGGCACUGACAACUUAAUAUCCAAAGAGGGGAAAACUUAAAGGGUCGAUAAGCAUGCAUACAACAUCGACUUGAACUGCUUUGUUGUUAUGACUAGAAGUUCCAGAUAUCCUGAAAAGGCCAACAGUAUCAGAAGCAUAGUUUUCAUCAUUCAAGCCAUUUUCUUCAAUAUGAUUUUUAUAGCCAGAGCUUAAUCCACCCUGAAAAAAGGAAAGAAACUUGUCUUGGUUAUUUUAUACGUUAAACGACAAAAAUAGCCUCUAUGUGACAUAUCGAGAGAUACCUUAAGGACCAGCAUGGGCUGGAAUAUUGCAACAAAUUGUGGUGGUUCUUUGCCAUGGUAUAUCCUACCCUAGAUAACGUAGAUGUCACAAUUAAGCUUCAUUUUGAGUUUUUGACUGAAAAACAGUCAUCGAAAAAAAGUAAUACCAGCACAGGUCUCCCUUUAAGUUAAUUGCACAUUGUGCUAGCCAAUUGUGCAGCCAUUUCUCGGUCCUCCUGAAUCCACAAUAAUGAUUCAAUUAAUAAAAUUCUAUAAAGACGUAUUUGACCCUUAUAUGCAAGGACAUUCGUACCUCGAUGCUAUCCUCUCCAGUCCACCAACAUAAGUAAUAAUCUUCUUUCGUUCGUGAGAAUGGUAUGUGUAGAGAACUAUGUAGCAAUCUCCACCGUAGAAUUUACCAAUGUCUUCUUUGGGUAUCUGAGUCUUUGCACUGCCAUCGAUACGCCAAACCUGACAAAUUUUACUUUUUCAGUGAAGACUAAGCUGGCCAAAUUAUGACAUGGAAAACAUUCUGAUGAUCAGAUUCAGACCUCUAUCUUUCCACCUUCUUCAAGCAAAGGCGGGACUUCUUCAUCGACAGAAGUACUUUUGCAAGCAUCUUUGACAGCAGCACCUUGUUGCUUCACCAACGCUGAAAGGGCUCAAUAUGGACAAAGUUAAAACUAACUCAAACCAGAAACACACAAAAUCUUCACUCUCUCAUAAUAACUCUACCUGCUACUUUUCCUCGUCCGUCCUCAGGGGCAGGUGUUGAUCCUGAUGGCCAAGAGUCAAAAUUGGACUUAAAUGAAUGUGUCUCAUAGCCUUGAAUAAUCUGGAUAAUAAGUGUUGACUUGGGUCUAUUUUGAUUGGCAAGAUAUUCCUGAAAAUUAUUGAGUCAUUCAGAAAUGAGAAACUAUACCACACAAGAACAUGGAUGAUCUACCUCUGCUGUUUGAAUUAUACUUUUCCUCUCCUCGAGCUGAGUAUGACGGCCUACCCAAGUGAAAACCUCGGAACCAUAGUCCAAAAUAUAGCAUUUAUCAUUUUCCAAGAUGGAUUUUGUAAGUUCACCAUCCAACUGAUUGACCUGACCAUAAGUAAUGCUGCAAAAGAGGACAUAAUUCACCUUUAGCACCAACCAACAACAACAAAAGGUUGAUAUACAAAAUUCAGUUACAAGUAACAACCCCGAAGACCAUUCAUUGAAAGACAUUACGUCCAGCAAUACAUGGUCUCUCAAGGAUAUCAAGAAAACUUUGAUAUAGAGUAUCAUAAACACGAGAAACUACUUGACACUGGUGAUUACUGGUAAACGAUUCAACAUUACCUAUAAAGUUGAGCAGUAGU